UGCUACUUCAUAGCUUUCCCUGGCUCCACAAACCAGUAACUCCCUAACAUUAGCUAGCUAACAAGAAAUGCCAGCUAAAACGUGUGAUAUAGACUAACUAGGGUUUACGGCUGUACGGAUAAUUGACCAAUGUAUUUGUCAAACUAAUUAACUAAUUUCAACGGCUCUGUCUUGGAUGGCUGUUCAUCUUAAAAUUUUCCUCAUAUUGCUAUACUGUAGCCACCCCCUGGCGAAACCAACACGGCAUCUGAUAGCUACCCAUUACAUGAGGGCAGGAAAAAUAAGAGUGACUGGGUGUAAAGAGCAAAGGCUGAUGUCCUGAAGGUCCAGGUGGACAUAGAGGAGCUCACAGCCUCUGGCCACAUUGCCCUAAAGCAAGGGGACUGUGAAGAAGCCCUCAGCCUCUUCAAAAAGGCCUUCAAAGCUUCCAUAGAGCUAAAGGAGACCAGGGUCUAGCGGGCAUGUGCCUUUAACCUGGGAGCUGCCUACGUGGAGGCGGGUAAAGCCCUGAAGGGACUGGACUUCCUAAAGCGGGCCCAGCCAGAAGAGAGGGGCGAGCGGAUAGCAGACCUCCAGUUCAACCUGGCCGUAGCCCAUGAGCCCCUGGGGAACCACAGCCAGGCAGCUGUUCACUGCCUCCAGGCAGCCCAGCUGUACUGCUCCCAGGGGGACGGGGCCAGUGAGGGGGAGACCUGCAUGAAAAUGUCCCACUGUCACCUGCUCCUAAAGGACUGGACCCAGGCAGCUUAGAGCUUCCAGAGGGCUGGGGAGAGCUACAGGAUGGCAGGCAAGCUGGACUCAGCCGACAACGGCCUUCAAAUAGGCAGGGAGUCACAUGCUCCAAUCAGAUGACUUCACCAUGGAUGAUAUCAUCACCGUGCUCACUGAUUGCCUCGAGCUGAGCAACAACAUCAAAAACCCAGAGUUCCUCGCCUUUCAGGUAAGGUGUACAAUGACCUGGGCCUGGGUUUCUCCCAGCUGAAGUUGUUCCAGGAGGCAGCCUGGUGCUAUGAGCGGGCCCUGCCCCUUGUCAGCACCAGGCCCAAAAGGCUGGCCGUGGUCCUACAGAACCUGGGAGCCGUUCACAACACACUGAGCCAGUACCGGCAGGCCCUGGACUACCACCGAUAGACAGCCAGCCUGCAUGGGUCUUUGGGCAGUCGUCGUGCUCAGUGCCGCUGCUUCAGUAACUUGGCCUUUGCCCUCAGUCAGCUGAGGGAGCAUGAGGAGGCAGCAGAGAAUGACCUCCAAGCCCUGCAGGCCUUCAAAGACACUGUGAGUGGAGCUGGCUCUGCAGAGGUGUCUAUCGGAGAGCAGGGGAAGGAGGAGGAAGCCCCGGUUCCAGAUGGAGAACAGGCACACACAGUGACGAUGGGAGAAGCAUGUGACUCUCAGUCACCGGUGACAAGAUCUCUCAUUGAGAAGCCGGGGUAUCUGACUGUGCUGCCAGGGGCAAACAGGCAAGGCAUUUAACACACACACUGUCGUAGCAGAAUUAGUUAGGUAACAUUGAUAAAUAAGAUGUUUUAUCUAUUUUCAUAAAUAUGCUUAUGUGGGAAAAGUCACUUGGGGCCCAGAGAGGGUAGAGGUCAGGAUUGUCUUCAUAUGUGAGGGUAUCUGUUAAACCAUGUGAAGGGCUCCACAAUGUCUGUACACCAGUCACUCCCUACUUUUCCCAUUGGUGGGAGGAGUAUGGCAGUGUCUGGAACCAUUGUCCCCUCUGAUGUCGAAACUUGUCUUUCAUAGUAUAUGACCUAGAGGCUCACUCCUCUCAGGGAGCUUGUCCAGGGGUGGGUUGUAUUUGAGAUGGGAGUAUCUAGAAUUGACAAUUGAUAUAUGCCAUUGGAUGAGGUAAUGUUUUGGUAAUAUGAAGUACCAAGAACGAGAAGUAGAACCUCGUCUAAGAACGCAAACUGAACAAUAAUUUAUAGCUAAUGCUGUCUGGCUAUGGGAUACUCCUCUCUCAAGUAAAAGUCUUCCUUUGUGCAGUUUUCCUAAGACCUGUGGUUUGUCAUUGUGAGUUGAGAGGGGUGGAUCUUUGCUGUGAAAGAUCUCAGUUGCCAUUAUGUUGACACUCUCUCAGAAUUUAUUUAUAGACACCGAAUUGAUCUGAGAGUCAAAGGGAUAUGGUGAAGCUCAUAUUAUUAAAAGAUGAAGUUUAAAGUA